CUCUCUCUCUCUCUCUCUCUCUCUCUCUCUCUCUCUCUCUCUCUCUCUCUCUCUCUCUGUAUCUAUGCUCUUUACUGUAUAUGAAACAACCGGAGCAGGUGUUUUAGCGACAUCUGUCAUCCGUCACAUGAAGCUACAGCUUCAACUAUGGAAAAGUUUGACAGCAUAUCACCAGCAAUUUUUUGCACCAGGACCUCCUAACGGUUAAUCCGGCAAUGGAGUCACAUUUUCAGUUCCUCCUCUAAGUGAAAGGAACACCGGAUAUCCGGACCAUGGGUUGUAACGGGAAGCCAGACCGCCUGAGCUACGGUAAACGGACCAGAACAUGAUCUGUCUUGAAGUGCACCAGGAUUUCAACAUCUUAGUUCACUUCUGCUAUUUGUGCUGUAGAUGACUGUGAAAAACACUAAACUGACGUGCAGAAGUGACUUGCGGUCACUACACAGUGUUAAGUAUCACUGCCCAGAUCUUGUGUAACAUCAGGCCAUCCUUGCAAAACGAGCAUUGGCUCAAUUUGUGUGUAAGAAGAGUUCAUUUCAAAUGCACUCACAGCGUAUGAAGCGAUAAUUGAUGCUUUAUGCAGAGUGAUCAACAGGUGUUUCCUUACUGCAUACAGAACACUGUAAUAAUGUACAAAGUAUCGUUAAUAAAUCAGUGUAUAAAUUAAUAAGUAAACAAAGCCUGAUAGAACUUUACUUUAAACUGAAGCUGUAUGAAAAAUGCUAAGUGCCAUUUGGGACUAAAUUGAUCGCCCAGAAUACAUUUGAAUGUAACUGAUAUGUUUUUAAAGCACACAACAGAAAGUGGCACCUGCUUUUACAAAAUGUUAAAAUACUAUGACUAUGAAAUAAUAUUUCCCAAUAUGGUACAGCAUUUAUUGCAAAAAAAGAAAAAGAAAGCGGUGACAGAGGAAAUAUUCACAUCAUUUACAUAAAAGUAGAAAUACCACAAUUCCAAUUCAUCCCAUUACAAUAGAAAAUUCUGCAUUUAAACCUUUACUCAAGAAAAGUACAUCAGUAAUAUCAGCAAAAUGAACUUAAGCAGAUUUUAGAGUGUUAUAUGUUUUAGAGUGUUAUAUGUUUGUAUAAUUGGAUAAAUAUUAUGGAUGCAUUAAUAUAUACAUAUCAUGAUUGUUUGAGGUUUUGCAAAAAUAUAACUUUAUAUUCUGUUCGGUAGUCUGUAACAGUGCAUCAACUUUUACAAGCCGAUCGUAUGAUUUGUGUCUAAAAUCUUAAUAAGUUAAGUAACAAGUAACUAUAGCUGUCAAAUAAAUGUUGCUGAGGACGAAAAUAUUUUUCUCUGAACUGUCGUGGGGUAGAAGUAUAAAGUAGUAUGAAAUGGUAAGUUAUUAAAAAGAAAAAAUACAUUCUCCAAGUAAAAUACAGUACAAGUACCUAAGGUGUGCACUAAAGUUCAGCAGUAAAUGUACUUAUUUAGUUUUCACCAGUGAACAAAAGAUGGCAUUUGACACACUUUAUUUCAGACAUAUUAAAUAAUGAACUGGUAACAUUUUCCCCUUAUCAUUCUCAUAUCAUAUGUUCAAUAGAAUUGGUGGUGGAAGUCAGGGUCACUUCACAUAAAGACAAUCAUUCACAGUCAACAAAUCCCUUCUCAACAGAUAUGAGCCAACGUUGAUUUAACACUGUUAUCAUACUGGCUCCUCCACACACACAAGUAGACCUCAGUAAUGUCUUAUGUAUUUCAUUAUUGCAGGACUUUAUAAAAAGGAAAACAUCCAACUAGUCUUUCGAGGUGCCACACUUUCUAUAUUGAAAGUUCAGCCCAUUGCACUAUUCCUCAAAGCUCUCUAAAACUUUCCUGGAUUACCAGACACUCUGACACGCUGCUCAAUUGGCUGACAUCCUGUUAUAUUUUGACAACUGGGCGUUGGAAAUUGUGAAAAU